rnacentral:rRNA from 604 species
CAAGGUUUCCGUAGGUGAACCUGCGGAAGGAUCAUUG